UUAUGUUUUUUUAUCCAUGCAUGGUAAAAAAAAAUUACACUGAAAAAACCUUAAUUUUUAUUUUUAUUUUCUUCUCCUUGCAUCUUGAAACCCUAAUUUACGCUACGCCAUCGAGGUCACCCUCACAACCUCACCUUCUACCUCUGCCUCAGUGAGUCUUCCCCGUCGUUGCGCCAUCGUUCCUCACCAACAUUGGGUCGUCCUUGCACAACGUCGUCGAGGUUACUAGUGGAGCUUGAACUCUAGAGACCCUUUGAGUAUUCAUUGAGCUUUCAACUAAAUGGUUCAUCUUCGAAGCUAUGUCUCGCAAAUGAAUGGAUUUUUCAACGUAAAUUAAGCAUCUUGGUGCAGAUUAACACAACCCCUUUUGAACCUACCCUUGAAUUCCUGGAACCCGAUCCAGUGAGCAGAAGAGCAAAGCUUGUAUCUUUACCUCAGGAAUUGCAAGAGUACGAAAAACAUAGAAAUGGGUCAUUCGAGUUUUGAAGGAAGAAGAACUAAAGAGAGGUGAGAUGAGGAGCACCUUCUCUUCUCUCACUCUCUUCUUUCUUUCACCUUUGGUUGAGAGAAUGAGAAAGAAACCACAAGCUUUAGCUUCACAGAAAUUGUGUGAUUUUUUUUUCUCUCGGUGAGACGAUUGUGCCUAAGAAAAUCUCGAGUAGUUGCCAUGCGUUGCGGUUCACGCCGACGGGAACGGGUGAGAACCAGAGGAUUACUCCCGUCGUGAUGGAGGCUAUUAGCGGCUUAAUUGAAGUGCCUUGUCAUGGUUGUACCGGCGUAAAAAAAAAAUUAGGGUUUUUUUUUUCUGAAGAUUUGAAUCCUAAUGAUGAACUUAUUCGUUGCAGUAUGCUGUGAAGAGGAAGGUUGUGGGAAUAUGGGGAUGCAAGGAUUGUGGUAAAGUGAAAGCUGGCGGUGCCUACACUUUGAAUACUGCAAGUGCUGUCACUGUGCGCAGCACCAUCUGGAGGUUGAGGGAACAAACCGAGGGUUGAGCUUUUUGGUUGAUGUUAGAUUUUGAGCAAAUUAACUGGAGAAAUGAUUCGUUUUUGUUUAGGGAGCUGUAUUGUUUCAACUUACAAUGCAGUGUGAAUUGUUUUUUGUUGUUGUUGGAUAAA